rnacentral:rRNA from 1 species
CGUUCCCAUGCCGAACACGGAAGUUAAGCUCUCCAGCGCCAAUGAUAGUUGGGGGCUCUCCCCCUGCAAAAGUAGGACGUCGCUGGGU